CUCCUGGCUCUUCACAUAGUUCCUUCCUGUUCUUCAUUCAAGUUAUAACUCAGAUGUUCCCUCCCAGAGAGGUCAUCUUUGACCACUCAGUAGGAACUAGCCCCUCCUAGUCAGCUCCUUUCCCAUGACCCCAUUUUGUGUCCACUGUCUGAGAUACUGAUUUGAUUUUUCUUUGUUUAGGUCUGUGCCUCUCUAUCGGAUGUCAUCUGAUGUGAGGAGGGGCCUUCUUGGUCUUGUUCAGUGUCUGGCAUAAAGCAGAAGACCUUUGCCUGCAUCAGCCAAAUAUCUGUGACUAGGAAAGCAGACAGAGUUACAUGGACAAGGGACACUAUUGGCAAGGAUAAUGGCAAUAGAAACCCUAAGGAAAUAAGAAGGAAAAACGUAAGUGACAAAAUAAGAAAACCUAACCUAGUAAAGCUAAUCAAAAACAAAUUCAAAUUAACACAGUUAAAAUCAGAAAGCUAAUAUAACCACUGAAUAAAAUAAAUUUAAAAAUUAUAGAAGCAUAUUAUCCUGAAAUGUCAGAUACUUUGAAACCUCAAUAAGGUAGAAAAAGAAAAUGUCCUUAAAAACAUGACAUUCUAAACCUGGUGUGAGAAAAAAAAUGAAAAAACAGUGUUGGACUUAACCUGAAGAUUAUUUACAAUGGCCAUAAAGAUGUGCUGCUAAUUAUUUCUCAUACAAAUGGUUAUUGUUUGAACAAAUUGUUCAAAAGCAAGAAAAACAUUUAGGGUGAACACAUUAGUCUAUGAGGUCAGUAUGAU
rnacentral:lncRNA from 1 species